rnacentral:snoRNA from 1 species
GCGGUGAUGACAUUCUUAUUAAAGCAUGUAUUAGACUGCUGACAAGGGUGAUGUGAACUGGAGUCUGAGC